rnacentral:rRNA from 1 species
GCAAGUCGAGCGGAAACGAUGGGAGCUUGCUCCCAGGCGUCGAGCGGCGGACGGGUGAGUAACGCGUAGGAAUCUACCCAGUAGCGGGGGAUAGCCCGGAGAAAUCCGGAUUAAUACCGCAUACGCCCUAAGGGGGAAAGGCCGGGAUCUAUUUAUAGACCGGUCACUAUUGGAUGAGCCUGCGUAAGAUUAGCUAGUUGGUGAGGUAAUGGCUCACCAAGGCGACGAUCAAUAGCUGGUCUGAGAGGAUGAUC